rnacentral:rRNA from 1 species
GAUGAACGCUGGCGGCGUGCCUAAUACAUGCAAGUCGAGCGAACAGAUGAGGCGCUUGCUCCUCUCACGUUAGCGGCGCACGUGUGAGUAACACGUGGAUAACCUCCCUAUCAGACUGGUAUCACUUCGGGACACCGGAGCUAAUACCGGAUAAUAUCUUGAACCGCAUGGUUCAUUAGUGAGUGACGGUGUUGCUGUCUCUUCUCGAUGGUUCUCGGCCGCAUUAGCUAGUUGUUACGUUAACGGCCUACCACGGCGACCAUGCGUAGCCGACCGGUGAGGGGGAUCGGCGGCACGAGAACGGAGACGCGGACCAGAGUCCUAAGAGACGCAGCAGUAGGGAAUCGUACGCAAUAGGCGGAAGCCUGACGGAGCAACGCGAAGUCAGUGAUGGAGGUCUUCGGAUCGUAAUACUCUGUUAUUAGGGAUAAACAACUGUGGAAGGAGAUGUAGCCGGCGUGACGGUAACUAAUCAAGAAGCAACGGCUAACUACGUG